rnacentral:rRNA from 1 species
GAAGCCGGAAUUGCUAGUAAUGGCAGGUCAGCAUACUGCCGUGAAUACGUUCCCGGGCCUUGUACACACCGCCCGUCACACCAUGAGAGUUGGGAAUACCCGAAGCCUGUGAGCUAACGUAAGAGGCAGCAGUCGAAGGUAGAAUCAAUGAUUGGGGUGAAGUCGUAACAAGGUAAC